rnacentral:rRNA from 1 species
UCCAGACUCCUACGGGAGGCAGCAGUGGGGAAUAUUGCACAAUGGGGGGAACCCUGAUGCAGCGACGCCGCGUGGGUGAAGGAGCACCUCGGUGCGUAAAGCCCUAUCGGCAGGGAAGAAAAGCGAACAGGUUCGCCUGGACGGUACCUGACUAAGAAGCCCCGGCUAACUACGUGCCAGCAGCCGCGGUAAUACGUAGGGGGCAAGCGUUAUCCGGAUUUACUGGGUGUAAAGGGGGCGCAGACGGCGAUGCAAGCCAGGAGUGAAAGCCCGGGGCCCAACCCCGGGACUGCUCUUGGAACUGCGUGGCUGGAGUGCAGGAGGGGCAGGCGGAAUUCCUGGUGUAGCGGUGAAAUGCGUAGAUAUUAGGAGGAACACCAGUGGCGAAGGCGGCCUGCUGGGCUUUUACUGACGCUGAGGCUCGAAAGUGUGGGGAGCAAACAGGAUUAGAUACCCCGGUAUCA